UGCGGCGUGUCCCGGGCUUCCGGGGUGGGUGGAGUGGCGUUGCUAAGAUGGCGGUGCAGGCUGUGCACCUGGAAGCGGAUGCCUUCCUGGUCUGCCUCAACCACGCGCUGAGCACCGAGAAGGAGGAGGUCAUGGGGUUGUGCAUCGGGGAGGUACCGGCUGGGCCGCGGGCAGGCGGGCUCCCAGAGCCUGGGCGCUGGGUUGACACCAGCAGAAUUGUUCAUAUUCAUUCUGUGAUCAUCCUGCGACGUUCAGAUAAGAGGAAGGAUCGAGUCGAGAUUUCUCCGGAGCAGCUUUCAGCUGCUUCUACUGAAGCAGAGAGAUUGGCUGAGAUUACAGGACGUUCCAUGAGGGUUGUGGGCUGGUAUCAUUCUCAUCCACACAUAACUGUCUGGCCGUCUCAUGUGGAUGUUCGCACUCAAGCCAUGUAUCAGAUGAUGGACCAGGGCUUUGUGGGGCUCAUCUUCUCCUGUUUCAUUGAGGACAAGAACACAAAGACAGGCCGGAUACUCUACACCUGUUUCCAGUCAAUUCAGGCUCAGAAGAGCUCAGAGUAUGAGAGGAUUGAAAUUCCUAUUCAUGUUGUUCCCCAUGACACCAUUGGCAAAGUGUGCCUGGAAUCAGCGGUGGAGCUGCCCAAGAUCUUGUGCCAGGAGGAGCAAGAUGCAUACAGGAGAAUUCACAGCCUCACCCAUCUAGACUCUGUAACCAAGAUUCACAAUGGCUCAGGUAAGGGUUCCUCUUCUGGGAAUAAGGAUGCUGGAUUGUGAGUUGAAUUAUGAGUCAUCUUGUGGUCUUGAAAAAUGGUCAUUUUGGGUCUGUCUAUAGAGGGCAGUAGACCACAAUGUCUAUCACCAUGGAUUGUAACCACGUGUCCACUUGGAGAUGUUCGGCAUUGAGCCAGCCUGUGUACAGAUUACUUCACCCAAGUUUAGCACUAUGUUUUGAUCUUGCCAUGUAGUUCAUGUCUUGCUCCACAGCUUGACUGACAUUCAGACUUGUCCAUUCUUAUAUUGGGGGCUAGGGAAGUUCAGCAGUGAAUCAAAUUAUUCAUUAACAUUUCUGGUGUUUGGAAGGGUGGGGGCAACUGACUUCUAAUGUGAGCUAAAUCACAAGUGGAAUGAACUGGGUGGCCUCCUUCAGUUUAUCCAUUUGGUUUUAAACCAUGAUAGAAUUUGAUUUGGUGUUACAACAACACAGGGUAUUGUAGUAUGGAUGCAUCUUAAAGAUUACUCCUGGGUGAAUUCAUGCUCUCCAUAGAUAUAUUUGCUUCCCCUCAGAAAAAUGACUUUUUGACAGGGAGCAUAAAAAGGGGAAGCAAAGGGAAGCAGCAAGAGCGGUCACGAGCCCCUUUCCAACAGGGCAGAUGCAUUGUUUUAGGGGCCCGGAGCAGCUGGUGGAGAGGAAAAUCACUGCCGAGCCCCAGGCCCCGUCCUCUACCCCCCCAACCUUCCACUGAGCCCCAGCCACCUUCACCUGGACUUCCCUGCAGAGUCCCAUUGCUCUUGUAAUGGAAGCCCCCAUUGACACCUUUGCAUCCAGAUCCUCCCCACAUCCGGUCCCCCCACUGAAUUGCCCGCACCCAGAUUACCCAACACUAAGCCCCUUCACGACUGAGCCUGCCUACCCACACCUGAUGUGCCUGGUGCAGAGGGGCAGGACCUCGGGAUGUUUCUGGGUCAGACCCAGACCUUGCGCUAUGUCAGAGUUGGGUGCAGCCUCGCCACUGAGUCCAUACCCCUUGGUGGAGGGGAGAGAAAGGAGCUGCAAGGAGAUCUCCCACCUCCGUGUAGCCAGUGGUCUGUCCUCCAGGAUGGCAGUGGGGAGCCUCCACAUUUAUUUAUUGACAAAUCUUGCAGAAUUUUCAAAUACUGGGUGCAGAAUUUUAAUUUUUUUGGCACAGAAUUCCCUCAGGAGUAGUCUUAGAGCUGCGUUGGUCCGGAAUUGAAAUCGGGGUAAAGGGGGCCAAUCCAUUCUCCUGCGGACACCUGGUGCUUCUGCAUUGUUCACCAAGAAUCUCUGCAGCCAAAUGUCUGCUAUCAGUGGUCCCCUCCUGCAGUGGCUGGAGGACAGACUGGAGCAGAACAAACAGCGGGUGCAGGAACUGCAGCGAGAGAAAGAGGAGCUCAUGGAAGAACUAGCUGCCCUGGAGUGAAGAGGCAACCCCAGACCCCUU